CACCGCCUACGGGGGGCAGCAGUAGGGAAUCUUCCACAAUGGGCGAAAGCCUGAUGGAGCAACGCCGCGUGGGUGAAGAAGGUCUUCGGAUCGUAAAACCCUGUUGUUAGAGAAGAAAGUGCGUGAGAGUAACUGUUCACGUUUCGACGGUAUCUAACCAGAAAGCCACGGCUAACUACGUGCCAGCAGCCGCGGUAAUACGUAGGUGGCAAGCGUUAUCCGGAUUUAUUGGGCGUAAAGGGAACGCAGGCGGUCUUUUAAGUCUGAUGGGAAAGCCUUCGGCUUACACGGAGGAGU
rnacentral:rRNA from 1 species